AGAGUUUGAUCCUGGCUCAGGAUGAACGCUGGCGGCGUGCUUAACACAUGCAAGUCGAACGAACCUUCGGGUUAGUGGCGGACGGGUGAGUAACGCGUGAGAAUCUGCCCUCAGGAGGGGGAUAACGGUUGGAAACGACCGCUAAUACCCCAUAUGCCGAUAGGUGAAAUGAAUUUCGCCUGAGGAUGAGCUCGCGUCUGAUUAGCUUGUUGGUGAGGUAAUGGCUCACCAAGGCUUCGAUCAGUAGCUGGUCUGAGAGGAUGAUCAGCCACACUGGGACUGAGACACGGCCCAGACUCCUACGGGAGGCAGCAGUGGGGAAUUUUCCGCAAUGGGCGAAAGCCUGACGGAGCAACGCCGCGUGAGGGACGAAGGCCUCUGGGCUGUAAACCUCUUUUCUCAAGGAAGAAGAUAUGACGGUACUUGAGGAAUAAGCCACGGCUAAUUCCGUGCCAGCAGCCGCGGUAAUACGGGAGUGGCAAGCGUUAUCCGGAAUUAUUGGGCGUAAAGCGUCCGCAGGCGGCCUUUCAAGUCUGCUGUUAAAGCAUGGAGCUUAACUCCAUCAUGGCGGUGGAAACUGAUAGGCUUGAGUAUGGUAGGGGCAGAGGGAAUUCCCGGUGUAGCGGUGAAAUGCGUAGAUAUCGGGAAGAACACCAGUGGCGAAGGCGCUCUGCUGGGCCAUUACUGACGCUCAUGGACGAAAGCCAGGGGAGCGAAAGGGAUUAGAUACCCCUGUAGUCCUGGCCGUAAACGAUGAACACUAGGUGUCGGGGGAAUCGACCCCUUCGGUGUCGUAGCUAACGCGUUAAGUGUUCCGCCUGGGGAGUACGCACGCAAGUGUGAAACUCAAAGGAAUUGACGGGGGCCCGCACAAGCGGUGGAGUAUGUGGUUUAAUUCGAUGCAACGCGAAGAACCUUACCAGGGUUUGACAUCCUGCGAACCUCUUAGAAAUUUGAGGGUGCCUUCGGGAAUGCAGUGACAGGUGGUGCAUGGCUGUCGUCAGCUCGUGUCGUGAGAUGUUGGGUUAAGUCCCGCAACGAGCGCAACCCACGUUUUUAGUUGCCAGCAUUUAGUUGGGCACUCUAGAAAGACCGCCGGUGAUAAACCGGAGGAAGGUGUGGAUGACGUCAAGUCAUCAUGCCCCUUACACCCUGGGCUACACACGUACUACAAUGCUACGGACAAAGGGCAGCAAACUCGCGAGAGCUAGCAAAUCCCAUAAACCGUGGCUCAGUUCAGAUCGUAGGCUGCAACUCGCCUACGUGAAGUAGGAAUCGCUAGUAAUCGCAGGUCAGCAUACUGCGGUGAAUACGUUCCCGGGCCUUGUACACACCGCCCGUCACACCAUGGAAGUUGGCCAUGCCCGAAGUCGUUACUCCAACCCUUGUGGAGGAGGACGCCGAAGGUGGGGCUAAUGACUGGGGUGAAGUCGUAACAAGGUAGCCGUACCGGAAGGUGCGGCUG
rnacentral:rRNA from 1 species